AGUUGUAGAAACAACAAUUUCUCUACUAUCGACAUCAGAUGCUGUAUCGCAAGGUCUAAUUGUCGGGUUAGUUAUUGGUUCAUUCGUGCUGGUAUUCAUUGUAGCUGUUGUUUGUUUAAUCAGAAGGUUUUUAAUGGAGAAAUACAAUUUAGAAAAGAUUGAAAAUCUUCAAGGAAAUGACUAUACCGCACAUCAAACUAUAGCUCUACAGCAGUCUUCGAGUCCACUACAUUAUGAAGUUGUUCAAAAUACAAAUAACCAAUAUGCUUUUACAAACAUAGCUAUUACUAACUCUAAUGAAAUUAUUAACAAUGUUAAAUUCGACGACGAACGCAAUCAAAUUGCACCUCUCGGAAAUGAAACCCGAAGUAAAAAUGAAUCCAAAGUGAAUCAAUAUGAUGUUAUCGAUCCUACAGUCAUAACAAGCUCUUGUCGUUCAACAGAAGAUAAAUCCGUGGAAACCGAAAAUCAUACAGUUUUAGAU